GACACGACCGUACCGCAAACCGACACUGGUGCGCGAGAUGAGUAUUCUAAGGCGCUUGAGAGAACUCAGGAGAAGGAACUCGGCAAAUUGACACCGUAACUUCGGAAGAAGGUGUGCCUUUAGUAGGUGAACCUGUACAAGGGGAGCCCAAUGAGGUUGCAAAAAAUCGGUGGCUGCGACUGUUUAAUACAAACACAGCACUCUGCAAACACGAAAGUGGACGUAUAGGGUGUGACGCCUGCCCGGUGCUGGAAGAUUAAAUGAUGGGGUGCAAGCUCUUGAUUGAAGUCCCAGUAAACGGCGGCCGUAACAAUAACGGUCCUAAGGUAGCGAAAUUCCUUGUCGGGUAAGUUCCGACCUGCACGAAUGGCGUAACGAUGGCCACACUGUCUCCUCCUGAGACUCAGCGAAGUUGAAAUGUUUGUGAUGAUGCAAUCUCCCCGCGGAAAGACGGAAAGACCCCAUGAACCUUUACUGUAGCUUUGUAUUGGACUUUGAACAGAUCUGUGUAGGAUAGGUGGGAGGCUUUGAAGUGUGGUCGCUAGAUCGCAUGGAGCCAACGUUGAAAUACCACCCUGGUGUGUUUGAGGUUCUAACCUAGGCCCGUAAUCCGGGUCGGGGACAGUGCAUGGUAGGCAGUUUGACUGGGGCGGUUUCCUCCCAAAGCGUAACGGAGGAGUUCGAAGGUACGCUAGGUACGGUCGGACAUCGUGCUAAUAGUGCAAUGGCAUAAGCGUGCUUAACUGCGAGACUGACAAGUCGAGCAGAUGCGAAAGCAGGACAUAGUGAUCCGGUGGUUCUGUAUGGAAGGGCCAUCGCUCAACGGAUAAAAGGUACUCUGGGGAUAACAGGCUGAUACCGCCCAAGAGUUCAUAUCGACGGCGGUGUUUGGCACCUCGAUGUCGGCUCAUCUCAUCCUGGGGCUGUAGCCGGUCCCAAGGGUAUGGCUGUUCGCCAUUUAAAGAGGUACGUGAGCUGGGUUUAAAACGUCGUGAGACAGUUUGGUCCCUAUCUUCCGUGGGCGCUGCAGAUUUGAGGAAGCCUGCUCCUAGUACGAGAGGACCGGAGUGGACACACCUCUGGUGUAUCGGUUGUCACGCCAGUGGCAUUGCCGAGUAGCUAUGUGUGGAAGAGAUAACCGCUGAAAGCAUCUAAGCGGGAAACUCGUUUCAAGAUGAGAUCUGCCGGGGCCUUGAGCCCCCUAAAGAGUCGUUCAAGACCAGGACGUUGAUAGGUCGGGUGUGGAAGCGCAGUAAUGCGUUAAGCUAACCGAUACUAAUUGCUCGUGCGGCUUGAC
rnacentral:rRNA from 1 species